GAGGAUCUGGCUCAAACCCUUCAAAAUCUGAAGCCGACAUUACUUUUGCUAAUGCAACCAAAUCUUUGUCUCACUACCAUGAGUAGUUAGAGUUCAAUUAGCUAAAGGAGAAAGUUAUUCAGUGUUGGUUUCUGUAGGGAACACAGAACACAAGUUACAUCCAUGUUCUAUCAGGUCAGAAGUUAAAUCACUGAGACAAGAGGCUUAUCUCAAGCACUGGGACACAAAUUCUAUAAACAAAAGGAAAUGAAAUAUAAAGCAAAUCACCAUUGGAGGAAGUACAAGUUGCUAGAACCCUAAGUCCAAAGCCUGAAAUGUGACAGGUAUAAGAUCCAAAGGAGGCAACUUUUUCUUGGAUGCAGAUAUUACAGCAAUGUACUCUAUAUGGACAUGAAAAUCAACUUGGACCAUGAAGAUGGUGCAAAACGCAUCCUUCUUGUUAAGUUGUUUCUGCCCAUGUGAAAACAAGCAACAAACAUGUAAAGUGUGUGCUGUGUUCCUCCUCUAGUGACGGUUCACUGAAGGACAACAGCCUACCACAGCUGCAAGCUGAUGAAGUUAUCUCUUUGUCUCAAGUGAUAGAGGGAUCUGCUUUUGUUUUGAGAGUCUUAGGUUCAACUUUUGCUGAUGACUCAUAAGCAGGUGUUUGUUUGUUUUAUAUGACUCCAGUGCUUUGGCAUCUUUGUUGGCUGCCUGUUGGUUUCUAGGUACCAGCAAUGAGGGCUUGCAGCAAUGCCAAUCUGAAAUCUGACCUGCAUCAGAGCCAGUCUCCACGCAAAUUUAUGAGUAUAGCUAGCCCCUAGUAGGAUGCUUAAUUGGUUACCCUGCCAGGUUGGUUGGUUGGAAGGGUCAGCAGACCAGCUCUUAAGCCAGCAGCAGCAGUUUAAAGCAUUUGUCCAUGGUGGAGACAGCACCAGCACCUGCUUAUUCCCAGUCUUGCUCCUGUCUUAUGCCCACCUGGCCUCAGUUCAGGUAAUUCCAUACUAACCCUUGGCUCCGAUUAUUGAUCUCUGACUCCAGAUUUGACCAUUGGCUCUGACAUCUAGCUUCUGACUCAGGUUGUGAACCUGGGCUUUGACUCCUGAUGCCUGAACCAACCAGUAGGCACCACCCGCAGUAUCCUGGUCACUGAUACUAGAUGAAAUAAUAAGGUGUUUUUAAACUUACAAAGGUCUAAAUGACUUGGGACCCAACUACCUAAAACACCCGCUUUCUCUCUAUGCAAUACUGUUCAGUUAAGAUUAGUGUAGGCACUCCAACUGGAGCUCUCUUGAUCUAAAUGACCUCAUAAGACAUUCCAUGUGAGGAGCCCUUCACUCCCCACCUCCUGGCACAAAAUAGCACAAAUCUGGUUGAUGAGACCACAAAGUCUAUCUAUAUAGUCAACAUAACAUAAUAUAAGCUAACAUAAGAGUGGCCAUACUGGGUUUGAGUUCAAAAGAGAUUUGAGUUCUAUAUAAUAGUUUGUGCUGAGAAAGUCUUUUGGCAUUCUACUGUCAUUUUUUAAAUUUUUGUUCCAUUGUAUUUUUAAUUAAUCGCCAAGGACACUCAGAGCCUAGUAUUGAUGUCCUUUUGUGCUUUAUACAUUGGAAAGAAUAUGAAUAUGUAAAAUAAAUAUUCAUUUCAGAAGGAUCUGAGACACACUGGUCAUGGAAAAAUUCAGAGAUGAAAAGAUAGUGAUUAUUCACAAUUUAAUUCAUUUUUAGGAUAUGCACAAAAUAAUUCCACAAAACCAUCCAGCUUCUUCUCCUAAAAUGGAAUAAGUAAGUGCCCUCCACACCUUUACAUUAGCCUGGUUCAUUUGUUGUUUGCUAUAUUAUUUCAUGUGUUCUCUGCAGACCCAUCAUUUUAUUUUGCUGUUUAGAAAAGAAUUAAAUCUUUUUCUAAAAAAUACAUGUGCUUCACUGACAAAGCUUUCAAAUUUGCCACUGCUGUAAAAGUUAACAUUACUAUCUUUUCAUAUUAUUUGUAUUACUCCUGAAAAUGUGACAUUGGUAACAUUAAUUAGCAUCUGAUGUCAAAUUUCAUUUACUCUCUCUGACAACUGAUUUUCAGCCAUGCUGCUUACUAUAUGGUCUCCAUUACUCUGCUAUUCAGGUCUAUAAAAAGC